UGUUGAUGUGUGGCAGAACCACCACAACAUUGUAAUUAGCCUCCAAUUAAGUAAAUUAAUUUUUAAAAAGCCCUCUUGCUUUAAUGCUGUUUCACACCACGCACACAGGUGAGACCUGGAAACUCCUGGAAGAUCAGGUGAGACCGUGAAGGGGCCUGCGACCGGCUGGUUAACACAAGGCUAUUAAGGGGUCUCCUGAAACCUGGGCUGCCGGUCGUUAAUCGGGUCAGCUGGUGGUGACCCACGGGUAACUGCCCUGCCACUGAGCCCGGAUGAGAAGGAGGUUUCCAAGGAUGUGCUGGGGUCCGGCACACAGGCCAGGCUUGCCUGCGGAAGAAACCCUGAGGGGGGGUGUCCAGGGGGUGUGUCUGGAAGAGGGGAGCUGGAGCAGAGCCAUUUUGAAAACCUUGGCCUGGAGACUUGGUAUUUGAAUCCACUGGAGCUACGGACCGCAUAAGAUGUUUCUUGGGGGGCUAGGCUGGAAAACACAGCAGAGUGGAAAGAGAUGUGGAUGUCCUGGAUGCAUUCCAGUCCCCCGAAAAGUUAAACACGCCUGUUAAAGACAAAACCUGCGUUAGCUCAGGCUGCAGCCUGCAUGGGAGAUGUCAGACCUGAGCUGAGUGUGGCAGAGACCUCCAGGGGCUUGGGCUUUUCCCUGCUGAUACCCUAACUCAUCUCCCCCACUGAUGUGCCCCGUUCCCUCACUUCUGAAACGUGGGCUGAGAGGACGCACCUCCUGCCUCUCUCAUGGGAGUGUUAUAAAGAUUAAUGAUGCAGACCUCGGGGCUCCUCAUGGGAGGCUGUGUACAACUGUUAACUUUUCAGCAUACCACUCUCCGUGAUGUUUCCCAUAUAGACCUGUCAGCUUCCCUGAAACACAGCAGAGAGCGGAUAGUUAUACAAUUUACCAUGUCCUCGGGAUGCGGGGCUGUGCCAAGGGCUUUGAUGCAGACUGCGCCGUAAGCUCCACUCCCCGGUGGACCAGAAGGGCUUCUGAGUGCUGUCCGGGGGAGGGGAUUACUGGCUGGAGAAUACAGGGGCCAGCAUACACGAGCAAAGUGAAGCAAGAAAAG